rnacentral:rRNA from 1 species
AGUGAACGCUGGCGGCGUGCUUAACACAUGCAAGUCGAGCGGCAGCGCGGGGCAACCUGGCGGCGAGCGGCGAACGGGUGAGUAAUACAUCGGAACGUGCCCAGACGUGGGGGAUAACUACUCGAAAGAGUGGCUAAUACCGCAUACGAUCUGAGGAUGAAAGCGGGGGAUCGCAAGACCUCGCGCGUCUGGGGCGGCCGAUGGCAGAUGAGGCAGUUGGUGAGGUAAAGGCUUACCAAGCCUGCGAUCUGUAGCUGGUCUGAGAGGAUGAUCAGACACACUGGGACUGAGACACGGCCCAGACUCCUACGGGAGGCAGCAGUGGGGAAUAUUGGACAAUGGGCGAAAGCCUGAUCCAGCAAUGCCGCGUGAGUGAUGAAGGCCUUAGGGUUGUAAAGCUCUUUUACCCGGGAUGAUAAUGACAGUACCGGGAGAAUAAGCUCCGGCUAACUCCGUGCCAGCCGCCGCGGUAACACAUGAAUAAGGGUCGGCUAACUA